rnacentral:lncRNA from 1 species
CUUCUGGUUCGUGUAUUGUCAACUGGGGCUGGGUGUGAGGCAGAGGGGGGCCCGGCUGACCCAGAGUUAUGUCUCGAGUAACCAGAAGAGCUGAAUUGUCCACUGUUGAAACAGGGCAGAUUAGGAGAGAAGUCGGUUUGGGCCAUGAGGGAGAGCCAAAUUUCCCCUCAUAGCAACAGUGUCUGCAGACUCAAGCGGGCAGUCGGAUGUGAAUGCAGAUGUCUGGGAUGAGGUUGAGAUGCUGUGCUUGGGGCUUUUAAAGUCUGCAAUCACAACCUCAGGGCCAAAUCUUUGAGGUCACACUUUAUUCACAGCCUUUUUCAUUUAACCCAAAUCCUCAGCCGUUGGCCUCUUGUAUGAAGAGGGAGAUGACCUGCCCCACCCUUCAACAUUUACCCGAAAGGGACUUACAUCUAGUGAAUCCUAAUUUUUUCAGCCACGGUUGUUUCUUUGGUGUCAUUUUUUUUUUUUUAACAUCAAAAGGGAAAAGGAGAAAAAUCCAAAGAGACCACCCCUAAGUCUGAAAUCCUUUUAAACCUCACACAAAGCCAAACCCGACAGACCUCCACAGAAUAAGCUCACCAACAGGGCAGCGCAGGACUUAGCUGCCAGAUCCCGUGGGCUCCUUUGUGAGGCCAGCUCCUUCCACGGGGACAGUGGCGUACGGGGAGGGACUCCGACUUCCAGCACAGCCAUGUUGAUCUCGAGCCUGACUCUGUGCCGAGCAAGAACAAGUAAUAAUGGGAGCCACUUCAACAACCACUCAAGCAUCUCAUCAUUGCUUUAAGAGGCAAAAGGCUAAGAUGAUGGAGGCCUGCGGGGAUGUGGGAAUGGUGCUGUCGCCACGGAGGGCUGCUCUUGAGGUUAGGAGAUUUAUUUGCAGGCAUCUGCCUGUGACAGUCACACUUCCCGAUCCUCAUCUGGGAUGCCCAGCCAUUUGGAGGAGGCCUGAUGAUGAAGGGGCCCAGCCCCGGGUUCCAGCUGGGUCCUCAGGGACUCACUGCCCUGGAAAGAUGCUUGAGGACUUGGUGAUGCUUCCAGAUGUGGAGACUCUGGGGGGUUCAGGCCAGCAGACUGGUCACUAAGGGUCCAGACCCCUCUUUCCUGGCCAGGACCCCAGGGACCAUGACCCAAGAGGCAGGGGUGCAUUCAUAAGGAGUGGUGCAUGCUUGGAUGAGCACGGGAUUCACAGGGGAUGCAACAGACGGAGCUACUGAAAACAUCCACCUCCCUGCCAGGUAGGCUGUGGUGAG